CCCGUCACAUCAUGAAAGCCGGUUGUACCCGAAGUCAUCGCGCGAACCGCAAGGACGCAGAUGCCGAAGGUAUGGCUGGUGAUUGGGAUG
rnacentral:rRNA from 1 species